rnacentral:rRNA from 1 species
GACGAACGCUGGCGGCGUGCCUAAUACAUGCAAGUAGAACGCUGAAGGAGGAGCUUGCUUCUCCGGAUGAGUUGCGAACGGGUGAGUAACGCGUAGGUAACCUGCCUGGUAGCGGGGGAUAACUAUUGGAAACGAUAGCUAAUACCGCAUAACAGUAGAUAUUGCAUGAUAUCUGCUUGAAAGGUGCAAUUGCAUCACUACCAGAUGGACCUGCGUUGUAUUAGCUAGUUGGUGAGGUAACGGCUCACCAAGGCGACGAUACAUAGCCGACCUGAGAGGGUGAUCGGCCACACUGGGACUGAGACACGGCCCAGACUCCUACGGGAGGCAGCAGUAGGGAAUCUUCGGCAAUGGACGGAAGUCUGACCGAGCAACGCCGCGUGAGUGAAGAAGGUUUUCGGAUCGUAAAGCUCUGUUGUAAGAGAAGAACGAGUGUGAGAGUGGAAAGUUCACACUGUGACGGUAUCUUACCAGAAAGGGACGGCUAACUACGUGCCAGCAGCCGCGGUAAUACGUAGGUCCCGAGCGUUGUCCGGAUUUAUUGGGCGUAAAGCGAGCGCAGGCGGUUAGAUAAGUCUGAAGUUAAAGGCUGUGGCUUAACCAUAGUACGCUUUGGAAACUGUUUAACUUGAGUGCAAGGGGGGAGAGUGGAAUUCCAUGUGUAGCGGUGAAAUGCGUAGAUAUAUGGAGGAACACCGGUGGCGAAAGCGGCUCUCUGGCUUGUAACUGACGCUGAGGCUCGAAAGCGUGGGGAGCAAACAGG